GAUGAAGAACGUAGCGAAAUGCGAUACGUGAUGUGAAUUGCAGAAUUCAGUGAAUCAUCGAAUCUUUGAACGCAUAUUGCGCUCUCUGGUAUUCCGGAGAGCAUGCUUGUUUGAGUAUCAGUAAACACCUCAACUCCCUUUUCUUUUUUGAAAUUGGAGCUGGACUUGAGUGAUCCCAACGCUUUCUUCCAAGAAAGUGGCGGGUUGCUUGAAAUGCAGGUGCAGCUGAACUUUUCUCUGAGCUAUAAGCAUAUCUAUUUAGUCUGCCUAAAAAACAGAUUAUUACCUUUGCUGCAGCUAACAUAAAGGAGACUAGUUCUUGUGCUGACUGAUGCAGGAUUCACAGAGACAGCUUCGGCUGACUUUGUAAACUCGAUCUCAAAUCAAGUAAGACUACCCGCUGAACUUAAGCAUAUCAAUAAGCGGAGGA
rnacentral:misc_RNA from 1 species